rfam:Populus trichocarpa isolate Nisqually-1 chromosome 6, whole genome shotgun sequence.
GUCUGAGUUUGAGAUAAAUUUACAUCUAGUUAUGGUAGACUCACACCUAACUACUUAAAAUCACACAUUAUUGCAAACUUGACUGUAUUAUUGACACUCAUAAAAUAUAUUUGGAAAAAAAGUUUAUAAAAUUAUAGUUUUUAU